rnacentral:pre_miRNA from 1 species
UGGACGUGAUUAUUGUAUUCGACUGUAUUCACGGCGUGAAAUUGGAGAUUACACUGUUUUUAAACGGAAAGUGAAUCAAUUAACAUAAUAGAAUCCU